rnacentral:rRNA from 1 species
UACGAAGGGGGGCUAGCGUUGCUCGGAAUCACUGGGCGUAAAGGGUGCGUAGGCGGGUCUUUAAGUCAGGGGUGAAAUCCUGGAGCUCAACUCCAGAACUGCCUUUGAUACUGAGGAUCUUGAGUUCGGGAGAGGUGAGUGGAACUGCGAGUGUAGAGGUGAAAUUCGUAGAUAUUCGCAAGAACACCAGUGGCGAAGGCGGCUCACUGGCCCGAUACUGACGCUGAGGCACGAAAGCGUGGGGAGCAAACAGGAUUAGAAACCCGUGGUACGU